CUUGCUUCUCUUGAGAGCGGCGGACGGGUGAGUAAUGCCUAGGAAUCUGCCUGGUAGUGGGGGAUAACGUUCGGAAACGGACGCUAAUACCGCAUACGUCCUACGGGAGAAAGCAGGGGACCUUCGGGCCUUGCGCUAUCAGAUGAGCCUAGGUCGGAUUAGCUAGUUGGUGGGGUAAUGGCUCACCAAGGCGACGAUCCGUAACUGGUCUGAGAGGAUGAUCAGUCACACUGGAACUGAGACACGGUCCAGACUCCUACGGGAGGCAGCAGUGGGGAAUAUUGGACAAUGGGCGAAAGCCUGAUCCAGCCAUGCCGCGUGUGUGAAGAAGGUCUUCGGAUUGUAAAGCACUUUAAGUUGGGAGGAAGGGUUGUAGAUUAAUACUCUGCAAUUUUGACGUUACCGACAGAAUAAGCACCGGCUAACUCUGUGCCAGCAGCCGCGGUAAUACAGAGGGUGCAAGCGUUAAUCGGAAUUACUGGGCGUAAAGCGCGCGUAGGUGGUUUGUUAAGUUGGAUGUGAAAUCCCCGGGCUCAACCUGGGAACUGCAUUCAAAACUGACUGACUAGAGUAUGGUAGAGGGUGGUGGAAUUUCCUGUGUAGUGGUGAAAUGCGUAGAUAUAGGAAGGAACACCAGUGGCGAA
rnacentral:rRNA from 1 species